rnacentral:lncRNA from 1 species
UAUGCUUCUAUUUACAAUACCAUUACCCGAGCCUUGAUUGAUACAGGUGCUACCCACUCUUUUAUAUCUUGUUUUUUGCUUGCAAUUUAGAUGUUAAACGUGAACUAUUGAAUGAAACAUUAACAGUAGAAACACCCUCUAGGGGACUUUUAGAAGCUCUCUAUGUAUAGAAACUAUAAAAUAAAAGCGUCAAGAACGAAACUACUUAUAGAUCUCAUACUCUAGAUUUCUCAGGAUUUGACAUAAUCCUAGGUAUGAAUUGGUUAGAAAAAUAUAGAGUAAUUAUUAACUGUGAAAGUAAAGUUGUAACCAUUCGCUCACCUAAAACAAAAUGGAAGCUCGUCUUGUAAAAGUUUAAACUUAAGAAAUUUUUUAUA